UUGGAAGGACAGCUGCCCAAAGUGAUAAACAUCACUUGUUGACUAUAUAUUUCACACUUCCUUGAGGUAAUUCGUUUCUUCCAAGUCUAAGAGCAUUAGAACCUUAGCUUAACAGGUUGUUCUUCAAGAUCACAAGGGAAAACUUGGCCCUUUUUGGCUGGAAUUCGGGAAAACACCUUUUGUUUGGUUGUAUAUACUCGUGAACAAGUUGAGGACCUUGAUACAUUGGUUGGGCUGUUUCUUGGCUAACGCACGGAGGGAAUGGUCGAGAGGAGGCGUGAAGAAGGCCUUUGAAGAUGGAAAUUUUGAGAGCUUUAAGGAAGAUCACAUUUGCAUUUAGGCAUCUAUAUUUUGUAUAAACCUUGGGACUUGUACAUGAUCU